ACUAGUGGGGGUGGAGCUUCGGUCGUGUAAAACCCUGAAAAACUAUUUGUUGUAAGCUACCUAGUAGUUAAUUAAAGGCCUUAACUAAGACUAUUAGAUAGUAGAGAACUUGUUUCCUGCUGCGCAAGACAGAGUGCAACCAAACAAGAAUGUUAGGAGGAGAUCUCGGGGACAAUUCAGGAUUUCAUCAGUAUAUGAUAUGUACAUCAGGAUUCCAAGAAAAGAUAGGAUCUAACUAAGCUGGAACAAAAUUAAUGAUAAUUAAGGAAAUUUCAUGUUAAUUGGUCACAUGAUCUUUUUUUUCAUUAAGGAAACUUAAAUUAUUAUGACAAAACAAAAAUAAUGUGCAAUUACUAUGUUUAAUAUUGAAUACUUUUUGAUAUAAUUAUGUGACGUUGGC